rnacentral:rRNA from 1 species
AACGAACGUUGGCGGCGUGCUUAACACAUGCAAGUCGAGCAAGGCCUUCCCUUCGGGGGAGUGUCCUAGCGGCGAACGGGUGAGUAACACGUGGGCAACCUGCCCUCAGCUCUGGGAUAACCCCAAGAAAUUGGGGCUAAUACCGGAUACGACCACUAACCGCAUGGUCUGGUGGUGGAAAGAUUUAUCGGCUGGGGAUGGGCCCGCGGCCUAUCAGCUUGUUGGUGGGGUAGUGGCCUACCAAGGCGACGACGGGUAGCCGGCCUGAGAGGGUGACCGGCCACACUGGGACUGAGACACGGCCCAGACUCCUACGGGAGGCAGCAGUGGGGAAUAUUGCGCAAUGGGCGGAAGCCUGACGCAGCGACGCCGCGUGGGGGAUGACGGCCUUCGGGUUGUAAACCUCUUUCAGCAGGGACGAAGCGCAAGUGACGGUACCUGCAGAAGAAGCACCGGCCAACUACGUGCCAGCCGCCGCUGUAAAAC